GACGAACCGUGCGAACGUUGUUCGGAUUCACUGGGCUUAAAGGGCGCGUAGGCGGCUUGCCAAGUCAGGGGUGAAAUCGUUCGGCUCAACCGGACAAGUGCUUCUGAUACUGGCGGGCUGGAGGGAGGUAGGGGCAGACGGAACUUCCGGUGUAGCGGUGAAAUGCGCAGAUAUCGGGAGGAACACCAGUAGCGAAGGCGGCACUCUGGGCCGGUACUGACGCUGAGGAGCGAAAGCGUGGGGAGCAAACAGG
rnacentral:rRNA from 1 species